rnacentral:lncRNA from 1 species
GCGUAUCCAGUAGGUGGGUCCUGCAAGUCAAGCAGGUGGUUCCAGCGUGCUCGGCAGGUGGUUCAGUUGUGUCCGGCAGAUGGUUCCAGUCUGUCCAGGACGUGGUUCCUGCGUGUCCGGCACGUGGUUCUGCUACGUGUGAGACGUGUUUCUGGCAUGCCCGGCAGGUGAUUCCAGACUGUCCGCCAUGUGGUUCUGGCACGUCUGAGAGGUGGUUCCAGCAUGCCCGACAGGUGAUUCUGGAGAGUCCUCCAAGUGGUUCUGGCGUAACCGGCAGGUGAUUUUGGCGUGUCCAGCAGGUGGUUCCGGCGAGCUCGGCAGGUGGCACCGGCGUGUCCGGAACAUGGUUCUGGCACGUCUGAGAGGUGGUUCCGGCAUGCCCGGCAGGUGAUCCAGGAGAGUUCUCCAAGUGGUUCUGGCGUACCCCGCAGGUGUUUCUGCUGUGUCCAGCAGGUGGCUCUGGUCAGUCGAGCAGGUGGUUCCGGCGUGCUCGGCAGGUGGUUCCGGCAGGUCCGACAGGUGUUUGCCGUAUGUCCAUGACGUGGUUCCGGCAUGCCCGCAAGGUGAUUCUGGAGUGUCCACCCAGUGGUUUUGGCGUAGCCGGCAUAUGAUUUUGGCCUGUGAGGCAGGUGGUUCCGGCAUGUCCAGCAGGUGGUUCCGGAGAUCUAGGCAGGUGCUUCCGGUCUGUCCGGCACGUGGUUGUGGCACGUCUGAGAGGAGGUUCCGGCAUGCCCGUCAGGUGAUUCCAGAGUCUCCGGCAUGUGGUUCUGGCACCUUGGAUAGGUGGUUCCGGCAUGCCCGGCAGGUGAUUCCGGAGUCUCCGGCAUGUGGCUCUGGCACCUCUGAGAGGUGGUUCCGGAAUGCCUGGCAUGUGAUUCCGGAGUGUCUGCCGUGUGGUUCUGGCAUAGCCGGCAGUUGAUUGUGGCGUGUCCAGUAGGUGGUUCUGGGGAGUGGAUCAGCUGGUUCCGGCAUACUCGGUAGGUGGUACCGGCGUGUCCAGAACAUGGUUCUGGCAAGUCUGAGAGGUGGUUCCGGCAUGCCCGACAGGUGAUUCCGGAGUGUCCGCCAAGUGUUUCUGGCGUACCCGGCAGGUGAUUUUGGCAUGUCCGACAGGUGUUUCUUGCGAGUCGAGCAGGUGGCUCAGGCAUGCUCAGCUGGUGCUUCCGGCCUCUCAGACACACCAGAACCACGUGCCGGACAGGCCGGAAGCACCUGCUGAUCAUGCCUGAGCCACAUGCUCGACUUGCAAGAAACACCUGCCAGACACGCCAAAAUCACCUGUCGGGUACGCCAGAACCACGUGGCGCAUACUCCGGAAUCACCUGUCGGGCAUGCCGGAACCAAAUCUCAUACGUGCCAGAACCUCGUGGCGGACACGCCAGAACCACCUGCCGGAAAGACCGGAAACACCUGGUGGACACGCCAGAACCACUCGGCAGACACUCCGGAACCACAUGCCAGGCAUCACGGAAACACCUCUCAGAGGUGCCAGAACCAAAUGCCGGACACUCCGGAAUCACCUGCCGGGCAUGCCGGAACCACCUCUCAGAGGUGCCAGAACCACAUGCCGGACACUCCGGAAUCACCUGCCGGGCAUGCCGGAACCACCUGCCGGACAGACCGGAAACACCUGCUGGACACGCCGGAACCACCGGCUCGACUGGCCGGAACCACCGCCGGACAUGCAAAAUGACCUGCCGGCUACGCCAGAUCCACUCGGCAGACACUCCAGAAUCACCUGCCGGGCUGGCUGGAACCACCUGCCGGUCACGCCAACAUCACAUUUCAGCUACGCCAGAACCACUUGGCGGACACUCCGGAAACACCUGUCGGGCCGGUCGGAACCACCUCUCAGACUUGCCAGAACCAUGUGCUGGACACGCCGGUACCACCUGCCGAGUAUGCCAGAACCAGCUGAUCCACUCCCCAGAACCACCUAGUGGACACGCCAAAAUGAACUGCCGGCUACGCCAGAACCACUCGGCAGACACUCCGGAAUCACAUGCCAGGCAUUCCGGAACCACCUCUCAGAGGUGCCAGAACCAAAUGCCGGACACUCCGGUAUCACCCGCCGGGCAUGCCGGAACCACCUCUCAGAGGUGCCAGAACCACAUGCCGGACACUCCGGAAUCACCUGCCGGGCAUGCCGGAACCACCUGCCGGACAUGCCGGAACCACCGGCUCGACUCGCCGGAACCAUUGCCGGACAUGCAAAAUCACCUGCCGGCUACGCCAGAACCACUUGGCGAACACUCC